rnacentral:lncRNA from 1 species
CUCAGCUCUGCCACCAGGAGCUUCUGAUCUACACCCAACCAGUUUCCCUAGCCCAGCAACCAACAUGGUGAGGAGCACUGCCUCUGCCUCAGGGAGGAUGAAGCAUUGCCCCGGUUCAUCACAAGUUCAAGUACUUGGCCACCUGGCCAGAGGCCAAGGGUGCAGCUCUCCGGGCUUCUUCCCCACCAGCUGUCUGAGGCUAGCUAGGAAAUAUCCACAACAAUGUCAAAGGGAACUCCUGGAUGAAAUGAGCCUUCCCAGCAUCCUCUGCAGCUAAGAUGUGAAACUGUGACCUUAGCCCCACCAAGGGGUUCCAUCUUUGGGAGAUUUCAUCUGUAGAAAAAACAAUGCAAAGUAACAGAUGCCAUUUUCAGGGAAAGGUAAAGAAUGAGGUGUCUAAUCUGCAGGGAGAGCAGUGGAGAGGUAUUGGCAUUCUUGACAACCAGCCCUGCCCCAGGUUGUGCAACAUCCAAGCCUGACUCUCCUCCCUCCUGAAGAUUCUGGAGCUAGUAAACAUUCUGUAACAAAUUCUUCUUCGAACCAGAAAGUAUUCCAGUUUUUGCAGCUAAGUCCCUGAUGGAUAGAGUAUGACCAACGAUUUAGGACUGAAGUAUGUGGCGC